ensembl:lncRNA
GAAAUAAUUCGAUGAAAUUAAUAAAGUUAAUGUUCUCCAGGCAGUUGUAGGCUGCCAACAUGCUAAAUCUUUGUCCGUUAACUUAUUAAAUUAUUGUUUUAUGAAUCUUCUGUAGGACUCUAUCCAAAUUGAAUGUUUUGCCAAUAUUAAUCCCCUACCGGUGGUUCUAACAAAGAGUUCUCUUUCAGGGACAGGUCUUUUUCCUUGGGGAAGUAAAUAGAGUCAGUGAUUUACUGAUAAAGCCACCCAGUAUAUACAUCAUCUCUGUCCCAUAUAUCAAUGUCACAGGCAACAGCUUGCUUUACUAAGUGAUUCUGCAGUAUCUUCUCAAAGACUGUUUUGUUUAGCAAUCAGAUUGAAGUGCCAACAUGCAUAUAUUUUAGCAUCCUUUGAAUUGUUUUUAUCUUUAAUAGCACAAUCAGUUCAGAGACAUUUUUAUGGAAUGGUUUCCAUUGCUGCAAUAUUAUCCAGCCGUAUUGGUCUACUUAAAAAUAAUGUUAGCCAGUACAUCACUUUUGUGCACAUUGGGCAUGCUUUCUUUGCAGCAGCACACUAUAUACUUAAAGCUGAGAUGUUAUUCUUGUUAACAAUUGGAGAAUGCUCCUAUUUGCAGCUCUCCCUAACUGACCAGUUUUUAAUUUGGUGUUAAUUAUCUAAAACUGUUUGGGAGACAAAACUGCCUUUCCAUUUUGUGCGAUUAAGUGGCAUUAAACAUUCCCUCCCAAGCCUUGAACAUGGACUGUGAAACUAAUGAGUGAUGGCUUUGUGAAAAUUUACAUGGGGGUGGAUAGAAAACCGUAGAGGAAAAAAGGGUCCCUUUGAUGAUGACUGACAGUUAAUGACAGAGUCUUUCUGUCUUGGUUUGAAAAAGGUUUUUCUGAGUGGGUAGUUCAGUUUAACAUCUUUGUAGGUCGAUCCUGGAAAGGACUUCAGGAAGAUGACUGAAGGACACAGAUUUUUUUUUUAAAUAAAACAUUAAGACAAAAGUUUGCUAAAAAUCAUAUUUUAAAACCAAGUUAUUGAUUUUCUUUUGGUAUUUGUGAGGCAGGCUUUCUUAACGAGUACCAUUUCAAACUGUUUCUCGGGAGAGGCGUGUUGUGCUAUGUACAUAAUCUUCGGUAAGGAAUUCUACUUGCAGCAUAUUUUUCUUCAAAGGCUUUGCAUUUCUGCAUAAAAAGCUUAUUAAUUAUUUGUGGCUGCUUGUCAUCGUGUUCUGAUAAUAGAAGGCUGGUCAAGGAUAAUAAUUACCACUUCACCUUUUUGGAUCAUAUAUAUCCACUAUUCCUACUGCAGUAUUACCCAAAGCAUCUCUCUUCUCCCUGUACACAGGACCAAAAGUGCAGGCACAUCAUUUAUUGAUAAGACAAAAAGAAUGUAAUGAAAUUAUCAAUGUUCUUGAAUUAAUUAUGAACAUGAUUAAGAAAGCUAAAAUCUCAGGAGCCAGGAUCUCAUUACCCAUUCAGUCUUAGGGAUUGCUUUCAUUCAGCUAGGCAAAAAGGCUUCAAGCAGCCCCACAAUUGCCUUUCUCUCAUUUAUUUGUGCUAGAAUUAAGCUUUAUUUGUUUUCUGUUUUCUUCUCCUUCAGACCGUUUCCUCUGUCUUUAUCCAUUUAACAAACUGUUUCCUCCUGUAUCUCAGAAGGCUACAGCGACAGGGCCUACAUCUGUCUGCAGCUGCUCACCUUCUUUUGAGUGCAUUUCUCUCACCUCAUUUUGUUGGAGCUCCUAAAUAUCUCUCAAGGUGGUCGUCUGCACUUCAGCAAUUGGACACCAUCAGGUGAAGGAGUCUGGGAGCUGAAAGAGACACAAAUAGCAGAAGCUGAGAUGGAAGAGAAGGUGGAGAAGAAGGAACUAGCAAAAAAGUUGGUGGAGGAAGGAUCUUUGGCUGGCUUACCUUGCAGAUUACUGACUGGAUGAAAUGAGAGACAAGCCAGGAGAAGGAUAAAAGAGUCUCAUGUGCUGCUACUGGUCUCCAACCUAUAUUGAACAGAGCGGUAAUGAAAGAGUUAGUUGCUCAGUUGUAUCCAACUCUUUGCGACCCCAUGGACUGUAGCCUGCCAGGCUCCUCUGUCUGUGGGAUUGUCCAGCCAUCAAGUUGAAGACACCUAACAACCAUCAUUUGAUCUGAACUGAGAAAGCGCCACAAAAUGUUGAAACACUGUAAGCGCCAGCUCAAGCCCUGCUUUCCAGCUGUCAGAAAGAAU